rnacentral:rRNA from 1 species
AACGAACGCUGGCGGCAUGCCUAACACAUGCAAGUCGAACGAGACCUUCGGGUCUAGUGGCGCACGGGUGCGUAACGCGUGGGAACCUGCCCUUAGGUUCGGAAUAACUCCCCGAAAGGGGUGCUAAUACCGGAUAAUGUCUUCGGACCAAAGAUUUAUCGCCUUUGGAUGGGCCCGCGUUGGAUUAGCUAGUUGGUAGGGUAAAAGCCUACCAAAGCGACGAUCCAUAGCUGGUCUGAGAGGAUGAUCAGCCACACUGGGACUGAGACACGGCCCAGACUCCUACGGGAGGCAGCAGUGGGGAACAUUGGACAAUGGGCGAAAGCCUGAUCCAGCAAUGCCGCGUGAGUGAUGAAGGCCUUAGGGUUGUAAAGCUCUUUUACCCGGGAUGAUAAUGACAGUACCGGGAGAAUAAGCUCCGGCUAACUCCGUG